rnacentral:lncRNA from 1 species
GUGCGGCGCAGGGUCUGUGAGGUGUGGCGCGGCGUCUGUGAGGUGUGGCGCGGCGUCUGUGAGGUGCGGCGCGGCGUCUGUGAGGUGCGGCGCAGGGUCUGUGAGGUGUGGCACGGCGUCUGUGAGGUGUGGCGCGGCGUCUGUGAGGUGUGGCGCGGCGUCUGUGAGGUGUGGCGCGGCGUCUGUGACGUAGGGCGCAGGGUCUGUGAGGUGCGGCGCAGGGUCUGUGAGGUGUGGCACGGCGUCUGUGAGGUGUGGCGCGGCGUCUGUGAGGUGUGGCGCGGCGUCUGUGAGGUGUGGCGCGGCGUCUGUGAGGUGGGGCGCGGGGUCUGUGAGGUGGGGCGCGGGGUCUGUGAGGUGUGGCGCGGCGUCUGUGAGGUGGGGCGCAGGGUCUGUGAGGUGUGGCGCGGCGUCUGUGAGGUGCGGCGCGGCGUCUGUGAGGGGCGCGGCGUCUGUGAUGGGCGCAGGGUCUGUGAGGUGCAAAGGCCAUUUAGUGUGUGGCCUUAGUUAAUUUUUUGUUUUCAAUUUUCUGUCUCUCAUGUUAUUGAUCUGUAAAAGGAGCAUAAUCGUAAGUGUCUCUUCUUAUUAGGUUACUUGUGAGGCGUAAGUGAAGUACUAUGUGUUAACUAGUAUCAUGAAACUACAGCCUCACUCUCCGGAGGAAAUAGUGUAAUGAUAGCGCCGUUUACAGGGUGCACCGUAACAGGAGGCAAAAACAGAGGUGGAUACGUGCAGAGAAGUCUUUAGGUGGUCUUGACACUAGAGCUGAAUUUGAAGGAAGUUGAGAACUUGUUAGAUGAAGGGACCUGAGAACAGGAACAAGUGUUCACCAAGACCGGUCUGUGUGAACACACAGAGGCGGAAAUCAUGCCAAAACUUGCAGAGUGGCAGGAAACUCCAUUCAGCUGGAGAAAGCAUACAUAUGGAGGGAGUGAAAGGAGAUAACAGUGGAGAGGUCUGGGCAAAUUUAGGCUGACUUCAAGAAGGCAGGAGUUUCCUGUGAAGAAAAUUGACUGAUACAGAUUUGUGUUUUAGAAAAGUCAGUCUGUCAGCAGCUGGGAAGGUGAAGGGGAGGUGUCACACCAGAUGUAAUAAAAUUGGUUAGUGGGAUUUAGCCAUUGUUUUAAAGAGUGGUGAAGGUAAGGGGAGUGUGGAGAGAGAGAACUUUUUGGAAGUUGGUUAUAUUGAUGGGACAUGUGGAUGUGACUAUGAAGAGACGGAAUCAAAAAUGGGCCAGAAGUCCUAAAUCUGAGCAACCUGUGGCAUGUGCACAUAAAUAUGACCCGGGGACAUGUGGGUGUGAGAGUCUUUAUUUCAGCAAAAUAUACUAAGCUAGAGGUAUAGAUUUUGGAAUCUUCAACAAUUAAUUGGCCAUUGUGGCCAAGUGAAAACAUUAGGAGUCUAAAGAUAGAGCUGUGGCCAACACUCAUAUUUAAAGAAAGGCUUGAGAAGCCCAGUGAUGCAAGAAGUGUCAAGAAAAUAUCACUAUAAAAAUGUUUGAGAAGCAUGGUACUAGUCAUCAGUGUUAAAUGUGCUUCUGGUGAGGGGUUCAGGAAGUUUCCAAUCAUGACGGAAGGUGAAGAAGAGUAGGCAUCACAUAGCAAGAGGGGAUGCAAGACACAGGGAGAGAGAGAAGAGGGAGGCACCAGGAUGCUUUCAGCAAUCAAUGUCAGGAAAACUGAUAGAGCAAGAAGUCACUCAUUGUCACAAGGACGGCACCAAGCCCUUUCUGAGGAAUCUGCCCCAUGACCCAAACACCUCCCACCAGGCCCUACCACCAACACAGGGGAUCACAGUUCAAUGUGCGAUUUGGAGGCAAAACAUAUACAAACUAUACUAGGAAGACAAACUGAUGUGAGGAUGAGGAGGAGUCAGAAAUAAACUCAUUCAACUAAUACUUGAGUAGCUACUGUUGCCUACAGUAUGUUCAAGGUUUUGCUAGUCAUCCAUAUGAUCACUAUUGACAGCUUGGGAGACUCACACAGGCUAGUGAAUUUCAGGAAUUAACAGAAACUGAACAGCUUCUAUAAUCCUGCAGGAAGUAACCUCUGGAUGGCACAAUGGAGUCUCACUCUGUUGCCCAGGCUGGAGUGCAAUGGCACAAUCUCAGCUCACCACAAGCUCCGCCUCCUGCGUUCAAGUGAUUCUCCUGCCUUAGCCUUCUGAGUAGCUGGUAUUACAGGUGCCUGCUACCAUGGCCAGCUAAGUUUUGUAUUUUUAGUAGAGACAGGGUUUCACCAUGUUGGCCAGGCUGUUCUCAAACUCCUGACCUCAAGUGAUCUGCCCGCCUAAGCCUCCCAAAGUGCUGGGAUUACAAGCAUGAGCCGCCGCACCCGGCCUCUGCUAAGUUUACAACCUGCAAAUUCUAUCCAAAAUAUAUACAUAUUUUCUUGUAUUUUUCAUUUAAUGCACCAAAA